rnacentral:lncRNA from 1 species
UCAUCAAAGCCCCCAACCUCUUCUCUAUAUUGGACUCUAGCCUGUGUUGACGCCUCAACCACCAGUGAGCUUGCUGAUUUUUGAGAAUAACCAAGAAAAGGGCCUAGGUUCAGACUUAUUUUGGUUUGAUUUCUAUCUCUCCUGUUGAUCGCUGUCACCGAAGAUAUCUCACUAUCCAUCAUCAGACAUCCAGCUACGCCACUACACC